rnacentral:rRNA from 1 species
UGGGGAAUAUUGGACAAUGGGCGCAAGCCUGAUCCAGCCAUGCCGCGUGAGUGAUGAAGGCCUUAGGGUUGUAAAGCUCUUUCGGCGGGGACGAUAAUGACGGUACCCGCAGAAGAAGACCCCGGCUAACUUCGUGCCAGCAGCCGCGGUAAUACGAAGGGGGCUAGCGUUGUUCGGAAUCACUGGGCGUAAAGGGCGCGUAGGCGGCUUUGUAAGUCGGGGGUGAAAGCCUGUGGCUCAACCACAGAAUUGCCUUCGAUACUGCAUGGCUUGAGACCGGAAGAGGUAAGUGGAACUGUCGAGUGUAGAGGUGAAAUUCGUAGAUAUUCGCAAGAACACCAGUGGCGAAGGCGGCUUACUGGUCCGGUUCUGACGCUGAGGCGCGAAAGCGUGGGGAGCGAAACAGGAUUAGAUACCCUGGUAGUCCACGCCGUAAACGAUGAAUGCCAGCCGUUGGGCAGCUUGCUGCUCAGUGGCGCAGCUAACG